rnacentral:lncRNA from 13 species
CUUUAUCCUGUUAUGUUCUUAAAUUCAAGCUGACUGCAGGCAUUCAUAUUUAUCCCUUGGCUGUACUGAGCCUAGAGAGACUCUUAAAGAGAGAAAUAAAGCCUCAGAGAGAAACUUUCCCCUUGCAUAUAAGGGUGAGCCAUAGCAAAUGGCCAGCAACCACCAGAGAUCUGAUUUUUUCUUUAUGUUCCUUUCUCCAGGGGACUCUGAGGAUCUGUAUGUGACCAAUAUUCUCUAUGAAAGGGAGGUAACUGAGAGGGAGAUCACUGGGGGAGAAGUGACUGAACUGGUAUGGAAGCUUUGCUUAGCACACAGUGCAAGUUAUGAGGGUGUUCUUUCUGUGUGACAAGACAUUUCAAAGAGAAUCUUUAUCAUCCCUCAUUUCAACCAGUAAAAUGUCCUUUGGGCCAGGAAAGAAGUUAUGGGAAUGCCCAGAGCGUUGCUUGGGAGACUGCUGCGCUGUUCUGCAUGUAUAGCUUGUUUGUCCCCUUAUUGUUUGACUCUGAAUGAGGUGAGAUUAUGCAUUUCUUUCAGGACACAAAACCAAGAAUAAAUGGAAGGGAAAAUCUUCAACUCCAGGGAAAACAGUGAAGGGAUGAGAAAAUGGAGGUGGAGACUGUGUCAUUUCCAAGGAAGCAAAGUUGUUGUUUAAUUUUUUAAUGCUAUUAUGAGACAAGAUUGAAUUUCAAUGUGGAUGUAGAUUAGCUAAUGGACCAUUAAGUGAACAAGCUGCAUACUGACAAAGAAUGGAAAAAGGGAUGGGGAGAAGGGACCCUCUCUUGAGAGAGGCUGGAGAAAAGCCUGUCACACCACUUCUUCUGGGGCUGCAUUUCCAGUGGCUGGCUG